rnacentral:rRNA from 1 species
AGCAGCCGCGGUAAUUCCAGCUCCAAUAGCGUAUAUUAAAGUUGUUGCAGUUAAAAAGCUCGUAGUUGAAUUUCGGGGUCAAUAAGUUGGUCGUGCCAAUGGUAUGUACUGGCUUUAUUGAUUCCUACCUCUUGACGAACUGUGAUGCCAUUGAUUUGGUGUUGCAGGAAAUCAGGACUGUUACCUUGAAAAAAUUAGAGUGUUUAAAGCAGGCUUACGCUUGAAUACAUUAGCAUGGAAUAAUGAAAUAGGACGUUUGAACCUAUUUUGUUGGUUUCUAGGAUCGACGUAAUGAUUAAUAGGGAUAGUUGGGGGCAUUAGUAUUCAAUUGUCAGAGGUGAAAUUCUUGGAUUUAUGGAAGACUAACUACUGCGAAAGCAUUUGCCAAGGAUGUUUUCAUUAAUCAAGAACGAAAGUUAGGGGAUCGAAGACGAUCAGAUACCGUCGUAG